rnacentral:rRNA from 1 species
GACGGGGGAUGCAAGCGUUAUCCGGAAUCACUGGGCGUAAAGCGUCUGUAGGUGGUGAUGCAAGUCACUGGUGCAAAACUCUGGCUCAACCGGAGGAAAGCCAGUGAAACUGCAUGACUAGAGUGUGGGAGAGGUAGAAGGAAUUCCCUGAGUAGCGGUGAAAUGCGAAGAUACAGGGAAGAACACCGGAGGCGAAAGCGUUCUACUGGAACACAACUGACACUGAGAGCCGAAAGUUAGGGGAGCGAAUGGG